GCCUUCACCUCUUGAGCUCAAGUUAUCCUCCUGCCUCAGCCUCCCAAAGUGUUGGGAUUACAGGCGGGAGCCGCCAUGCCCCAGCCUAUUGAUAUUCUUGUUGAGGUUCUCAGACAUAUCUGCAUGGCCUCACACAUGGAGGAAAGAGACCCACAGAGGCAAAAACAAGACAUGGGGUAAAAAUAGACUGGAAGGAAACACACCGAAUGAUAGUGGUUUUUUCUGGGUGUUGAGAUUACCGAGCUUAUUUUUAAAUUUCUUAGAUCCUUCAGGUGUUCUACAACGUAAAAUGCAGACAGGGUGGGGACGUUGGUUGGAGUCAUGUUUUCCCUAAUGUUCUUACUGGUUCUAAAAUCUUCAAGCUAUGCUCUCACCCAAGGCUUCACUUAUUAUUAUUUUAACACUGUGGAUUCAUAAAGAAUGGAAGCCCACACAAGUCCAGGGAAGGAAGGAAAGGCAGACAGAGGCUUAUUUUCAGGCCUGGGCAGUUGCACAGGGUCCCUUGCUUAGAAGGGCCUCAUGCUUGGUUUCGUGUUCUGUGGUCGCUGUCCUGAAAUUCUUACUGAUUUUUGAACAAGGGAUCCUGUAUUUUCAUUUUGCACUGUGCCCUGAAAAUCAUGCCGCCGUCACUAGCCCUGGGAUUCUCCCCAGGACAGGUUUCCCUUCAGCUGCUCUAAGCCUUCGCCCUUGUCCUUGUCCAACCACGGACGUGGCCAUCCACGGAGCCCUCUACGUGCCUCAGAGCAAGUGUGCUUCGGCUGCUCAGGUGUGUGUCUAGAGACUGAUAAAAACAGGGCUCGUGAGUGGGUGCGGGAGGCCCCUGUGGUCUCUGUUCACACACGUACCUACCCUCAAGGCCAUGUCUACACUGGCCUAUUUCAGAGAACCGCCCUGUGCAUCAUGGGAUGCUUUGCCCCACAUCACGGCCCAGCUUGGUUCAGUCCUGGAGCCCUGUGUCCUGAAGCCAUGACCAACCCCAGGCCUGGCCCACCUUCUUCCUCAGUCUCCUCUCCCUCAAGCCCUCCACAGGACCCAUAAACCUUCCAUCUCCAUGUAAUCCUUUUGUGUGAUCCUUCUUCCAUACCUUUGCCCAUGCUGUUCACUCUGCUUGUACCAGCAAGGUUCCUUCCUCCCCAGAUCUGCCCUUUCUAGACCCAUCUCAGAUUCCACCCUUUCUAGAAAGACUUCAGGAAGUAUUUGAGAAGGGCCUGAAGAUGCUGUGGUUGCAUAGAGGAGGAUAUGAAUCACCUCGCUUAGAGGUAUCGGGGAGGGCUCCAUGGAGGUGGUGCCCUCAGGCCAAGGAAGAGAAGAUAUCUUCCGGGCAGAAGGGAGAGUUUGACGGGCUGGUUUGAUGUCAGACAGACCACAGGAUGACUCAAGGUCCUCUUUCCUCUUCUUAAACAUUAGUUGCAGCAAGUCCCACCAUCUGCCUGAGUCUGUUUUCAUCUCCACAAUGGAGGUGGUGAUGCCCAGCACACGGAGCUGUGAUGAGGAUUUAAUGGGGAAUCCAGAGCAUUUAUGGAAGUGCCAGGAGGCCAAGAUUCUGCAUAGGGACUGCAUGUGCUGGUGGAAUCUCAGUCACCAUGUCCCACGUUGAAGGAUGUUUGGAGGGGGCUGACUUUGGUCACCCUUCAAAUCAUAAGUUAUAUGCGUCUGCCCUUUCCGCCCACACUGAGAAGGGCUGAAUAUCACCUGUGAGCCUGCCCCUGCUCCCAAGAACACCCUUUGGACACCUGUGGGCUCUGCAAGGUUGGUGUAACCCCUACAGAUGAGGAAACCAGAGACAGAGAAGUGAAGUAACUCAUGCAGGUGACGGCAGAGGGCAGAGUCAGGACUUGAACCUGGAGAGCCUGGCUCUAAAGCCCAAGCUGGAAUCUCGAUACUCUACACCUCGAUAAGUUUUUGGGAAAUGACUGACUAAACAGAUGAACGCGUUUGCCCCCCCGCCGCCCCAGAGCCCCCUUAAAGCCUACAUGUGGCAGUUUGGGCCCAUUUCCUUGGCUUCCCUCCCUGGAGGGGCACCCACUGCCAGUGUCCCUGGUGAGUGUUUGCCUGUGGGGGUACAAGUGAGGGUUCAGCAAAGGUGACCUGGUGUGAGGGGGGGGUGCCCCAGGGGGUGCAGAGGAGGGCCUCAUGAGGCAGAUUCAGAAUGAAGGUUCUGGCCCCCAGUGGAACCGUGCAUGGGCAAGGGGUCCUCAGGGCCAUUGGCCCAUAAUUGUCAGACGGGGAAACUGAGGCCCAGAGAGAGGAAGGGACUUGUCCUUAGUUACACAGAGUGUCUGGAUCACAGCUCUUAGGUCUCAGCUUCCCCAUUUGUCACACAGGGAGAAUAAAUCCCCCUUGUCCUGCCUGGGGGUAGACCCCAGGGGGCCCCUGUGCCCUCUCACACCUUCCAUUCCAGCUUCUAGAAUUCCACCAUCCAUGCACCAGCCCUGAGGGUAGGCGUUGCCCUCUUCUCACCUCCUGCUCACGCCUCUACUGCAGGAUGGGAACCAAAUGCCUCUCCACCCUUUUCCCACACCCCUUCUCUCCACAGUGAACUGAGGGGAGUUUCUGAUCCCUUAGCUCAAAGUCAGAGAAACUGAGAGGGGAGGGCUGGGUGGGAGCCGUGGGAAUGUCAUGCACAAGCAGUCGGACUCUCCAGGGGUCUGGAUCUCUCCCUUGCUGCCUUGAAGGCCCCUGCACAGGCUGUGGCACUGGCUGAGUACAGGUGCCUGAAGGCAGAGGCAUGGAUGGGAUGCUUCAUUCUCAGCCUGUUUUUGCCAGUGAAGACAAAAGGGAAGUCAUCUUCCGUUGGUCUAUGGGGACCCUGAGGUAGUAGGAGCUCGGUGAUAAUUCUAGGGACCACCCUGGGUUGUCAGGUGGGGGAGACAGAGAAGCCCACAUAGGAGGCACCAAAUGCAACUCACUCGUGCCCUUUUACUCAUGAGAGAACACGGAUCCAGAGAUGUCAAGUGACUCAGACACAGUCUCACAGCACACAGGCGGCAGAGGCAGGUAGGGGACUGGGCUUCCCUGGCAGCAGUCCCCAAGCCUGCCUGAGAGGCACAUCAGAAUCGCUUUAGGGGAUUUGCAAAACCACACCUGCCCAGGCCCAAACCCUAGAGAUUCUGAUUCCGCAGUCUGAGGUAGGAAUGGAGAAUCCUCCACAGCCUGAGGUAGGAACUGGGAAUCCAGUGUUUAAAACUCUCUAGGGGCGGUGAUUUCAGAAAACCUGCUGGCUCCAUCACACUUUGCUCAGGGACUGAGAUGGGAUGGCAUUUGGAAGACACAGGUAGGAGGAAGAGGAGGCAGUGGGGGGCACAGGGAGACCCUUCCCCUUCUGGUAAAAGCCUGUGGACGAGAGAACAGCCCGAGUAAGAUUCUGAGAACCCGAGACCCGGAUGGACCUGGAGUUUUUGUCUUGCGUAUAAUUUAGGGGGUCUGUGACACUGGGCUGGAGAUAACCGUGUCUUUCCUUUCCCUGGCCUCUAGCUGAAAUUUAGCAUCAUAUUCCAUGGCGAUUUUCCACCAGUGGAAAUCACAGGUGUUCUCUGGUAUCACAGCGGGGUCAGGGAUGACCUGAAAUAUUGUUCAUGCUCAUCACAACUGCAUGGCCCACCGCGGGGUCUUGUCACUCAGUGAGUUCUUGAAGAGGCACAGACAAAUGGAGUUCAACAAAUGGAAAACAACUGCCUUUAAUUAGCUCCGAGGACUACAAAGGGAACAACGUUAUAAUAGCAGCAACUCCAAGGAAGCAGCCACAGCUCUCAGCUCUCAGACCUGGGGCUGCCGCUCAUCAUCAGCUACAGCUAGGUUUGAUGGGAGUGCCCCCAUUUCAGGGGACAGCAGGCCCCCUUCACUCCCCGACUCAGUCCCCAUCUGCAGCAGCACAGCCUUCCUUGGCCUCACCAGGGAAGAAGAACAGGCCCCGCUCUCAGACAAGCCUUCCCAGAAGCCUGAGGACUCAAACACCCAAAUGUGUCUGGGUCCCUGCCCCGAGCCGGCCACCCAGGCAGCAGCCCUGAAUCACUCGGUCAGCCAGCGGCAGGGCAGGCCAAUGGGCUGGAGGGUAGGCAGGCAGGCAGACCCACCUCUGCAUCUCUGCUGACUGCCUCGGCUGAGGAAAGGCAGCACCAGCCCCCAACCCUGAAGUUCUAGAUCUCAUGCAGCCUCUCUGUUCUGGAACCAUCCAGAGGCACUGCCCUUAUACAUGGUCCACCCCCAGGCUCAGACAAUGAGAAUUCCACAAGCAGAGGGGACUCUAUUUGGGGCACAGAGAGGUUAAGUAACUCCCCUCCUAAGGUCUCUCAGCAAGGAAGCCACUGAGCCGUGGGACUUGAGCUCAGGGACUCUUGAUCCCCAGUCUCAGGUGUCACAGCCCCAUCUGGGCUCCUGCUAGGGAGGAGGAAGGCAGCAGGGGGUGUCUGAGGCCAGGGUGCAUCAGCCCUAAAUGCCAGACAGAGGCAGGAGAAGUCUCCCCAUGAGUCCCAGCCCCAUUAGAGGCUCCAGGUCGGGGAUCCCAGACCCCCUAUCCUUGCUGGGAGACACAACCCAGAACUCUGCAUCCCUGCAGCCACCAAAAAAGGCAAAAGCUGCCCAGAAACACUUUCUCCUCUUCCGUGGCCAAAUCCACGAACUUUCUCGAGGUCUGUCCCCCUGCCCCGUGCAGGUCCAGCUUCAGUGCAGCCCAGCUCUGUGCAGUUUUCCACAAAAGCCUGUGGCUUCCUUCUCCUCCCUCUGCUUCUGAUACCCCAGGAGUUACACACAAAAUGUUGGCGGUGGUCUCCAGGAAGACCCCUGCAUCCCACAGCUCUCCCCAGAAGUUGCCAGCAGUGACCUCCUGAGCCCAGGUGGGGAGUCCCAGGCAGGACAGGGGCUGGGGCUGCAGGCCCUGGGGCCCUGUUAGUGAAGCAGCAAGCCGAGGGUCCCUGAGAGUUUCCCUUGGCCCCUCUGAGGGCUGCCCUUUGAGGUCUUGAGGUCUUGGAGUAUCCAUCGCCCCCACGGCUUACUGUCCCCACCAGCGGAGGAUGAAAGUGCCACAGCGAUGUUCCACGCCAAGAGACCACAGAGACCACCAACCCCUCUUCCCACCUCAGGCUUUCAGAGGCCAGCGGAUUUAGGCGGACAGGCUGUGCGCUUGAGGGCAGCCAGGGCGGUCAGUGGAGGGACGUGGUCCGGGGCCUGGCCACAGCUCCCCACCCAGGGCCCUGGGCUAUUGUUACUCACCGCGGAUGAAGGUCGGCGAGUAGGUCGGGAAGGAGUCGAAGAUGCUGUUCGAUGCCAUGCCCCGCUCUGAAGAAGGCGAGAAUUUUCAGCCCUUCAGGGGGUUGGGUUGGGAUUCACUUGGUUGGCUGUUGUUUUAUUUUUUUUUCCUCUAGCUACUUUUGAAAAUAAAAGGGGGGGGUGUUGCUUUUUGUUGUUU
rnacentral:lncRNA from 1 species